ensembl:lncRNA
GGGGCGUGACUUCGCCACUGUAUUCCUUUUCUCCAUUGACAUUUUGUAAAGUCAUAAUAUAAAGAGUUUUAAGCUCGGCCCAUGCCAAUUUUCGUCCAGGGGUCGUCGUCAGGCACGACGCGACUCUGAACCGCUAGGGAACGUCGUUAGGCACGACUCUAAAUCCCGGGCCCGAGUAGCUGGAGGUGAUGCUUCACGGCGUCGUCCCCUUAAGUGUACAUUAGAUCUCCAGCACCAUAAUGGCGAACUGCUCGUUCGGUGAAUAUGGCAGCAGAAUGGCUGAGCUUGAACACAGCCACAGUCGGCUCAGAAAAGAGACUGGAGAGAUGAGGCACUUGCUGGAGGUUGCAGAUGAGGAGGUGGCUGAACUACGCAUGGAGAAUGCAGCCCUGACAGGCAAAGUGGAAAUGCUGGAGAGUUCCCUCAGCGAUGCGGGGCACAUCCAAGUUGAGCUCCGCAGGGUCAAGAGCCUCCUCUGUGAGGAGCAGAGUAGCAACAGGAAAAGAACAAGCAACAAGGAGCAGGAGAUUCAAAAGUUGGAGGAGGAACGUAAGAUUCUGACGGAGCAGGCCAAAGGUCUAUCUGCCCAGCUGAAGGAGCUGCAGCAGCAGAGAGAGCAACGCGAGCUCAGCCAGAGUAACCUGGAGGCAGCACUGCAAAGGCUUCAGAUUAAAAUGGAAGAUAUUCGCCAGGAGCUGAAACUGAAGGAUGAGGAUAUCCACCAGCAAAACUGGCAGUUGAUGCAGCUUGAGGAGAUGAGGGAAGAGUACACAAACAUUAUACGGGACCUGCGGCUCAGGAACAAGGACCUGGAGAGCCAGGUGGAGCUCCAGCAGGAGGAGGCCGCCCGCCUGGUGAAUCACCAAUCCCCCCGCAACCCCCUCUCCAUCGCGGACGAGGUGGAGCUGCAGGCCUACCUGGCGGUGGUGGAGAAUUGUAGGCGAGAAGAGAAAGAUGAUGGGAAAAACACUGCUGUCAAGCCUUUUCCAAAGAGCCAGGGUCGUUCAGGUGGCCAGCUGCUGCACGGCGUGCUGACCAAGGGCCUCCUGGCCCUCGGAGGUGUGUCUGUCCUGGCCCUCGGAGGUCUGUCUGUCCUGGCCGUGACGGCCCCCAUGCUACUGGACAACUGGGGCUACAGCGCCGACCUUGUCUCCACCAACGACCUCUGGAAGACUGUGCAUGACUUGUUCUUGCGUAACUGUGACAAACAGUACAAGUGUUUGCCUCCAGUCUAGACUCCACCUAACUGGUAGGACUUGAAGCAGUUGUAGAAGAUUAAAUUGAAGUGUCUAACUGAGUGAAAUAUGUCUGGUUGGAGUUACCUUACAUCAUUCUUACCUGAAAUACCUCCUUCGUUCGACGUUAUUUUAUUGGAUUUUUUAUAGGCUGUUAUUGAACUGUUAUUACUAUUACUAUUACUAUUUCUAUUACUGAACCAUAUAUCAAAUGGGCAAAAAAUGUGUAAACCAACCCAUAAUAAUAAAACACAAGAGGGACAGAGAGCUCAAAUACAAACUUACAAAGGGCAUAGACUAAGUAUUAAAUCAUAGAAAUAUUCACAUCGCAUGAUUACUUGUAAUGUGAGAUAAAUAGAGAACAAAGUCCAAGUGCAUGGCGCUCUUUAAUUAGUAUUUUACGAAGGACAAAGUCUAGUACAAAAGUGUACAAAACUUUUUUCAUUAAACAUUUGGUUUACAUUGUGUAUAGUUAGUGGUUUUUGCGAACAGCAAUCAUCCCCACGACCGCGGCACCAAUCGUCAACACUGGAUGUUGCACCAAUCGCCACAACUGUGGACAGAAACACACACACACACACACACACACACACACACACACACACACACACACACACACACAUACACAAACAGAGGUGUGAUGAUAAAUAUACUGGGUACUUAUACAACUUUCUAGAAGGAAAUAUAGAAUAUAGAAAAUCAGGCACCAAAAUAAGCUAAUUCUCUGUGACACAUUUACUAUGAUGCUGUGUAGUACGUGAUACAUACAUGUUGUCCAAAAUAACAGUAUAAUACUAAUUAACUAACUAACUCAUAACGGAUUUGGUAAAUUGUGCUACACAUAGAUAAAUUUUCCCAUCCCUUGCCACCUUAUAAUGGUCGUCUACAACAUUACACACCAGGAAGACUCACCUGUCGAGAUUCACCCUUGCCGUAGUGUAGCCAUGUAGAGAAGUCUUCGCAGUUCUGUUCCAGGAGAUCGGAUUGCUUCUCUGUGCCCACCAGGCUGAGGGCUUCCUUCACGAUGACGUAGGCGUCCUGGGGUGUGUACUUGUCGUCCAUUAAAUUGUUGAUUUUCCACUUGCUAUCUUGAAUAGCAUCUUUCAGUCUUUCUUUCUUUACAAUGGCUUUCUUAUUGGUCU